AACUAAUGAACUUGAAUAAGUAUAUAUUUUGAAAAUAUAAAAUAAAAGAUUUACUUUUAUUAGUUU
rnacentral:tRNA from 1 species